CGACUUCGUGUGCUCCACGCGAGGGCCGCCUGACGCCAGAGUUUCUCCCGCAUCUGCCAUCAGAGGACCGUCGCCCUCAGGAGCCCGAGCUCCCGCGGCUUCUCCGAAAUUGGAGUUCCAGAAGCCAUCCUUGGAUAACAUCUCUAUAAUCUCCUGGGAGAAUCCUUCUUCGAAGAAAUCCUCCAUCAGAGGAGAGUUCUUGGUCUCAGUCACAUCUGAAAGAGCAAGUGCAAAUGUCUCCUGUUCACUAAGGAUAUCCAGCUCACUCUCCUCACCACACUUGUGCUCAUGUUGUUCCCUCGGCCUCAAAUGCACCAACAGACAUGUAAUAGGCACCCCUUAUAUGCCAAGCAUGAUGUCAGGAGCUGGGAAUACAGGGUGAAUCAGCUAAGCCCUGCUUCCAAGAGCGGCAUGCUGUUAAAGGGGAAAGACGCUUAUGUGGUAACUAUGCAACUCAAGUGUCACUACUAGAGGAUAUGGAGGUAUAUUUGUUAGUAAAGGCAUGGCUACCUAUGUUUGGAAACAGCCAAUAUGCUGAGGUGACAGAAACAGAAAGCAGAAGUUGUGAGAGCCUGUGCAUGAGUUAGUCACCUAUGAGGAACACUGAUGUGCUGAAGAGGAGGCUGCAGAGGCCUCAUGUACACGAGCCUGAGCGUGGUGAGCCAAGAAGGGAGCUGCAGACUGACUGGAUGGGGUACAGCCUGAGAUUCCUGUGGUCUCUGGUUCAGGGCCCUGCUUCUCAUGCUGGGGACGUCUCUACCAUGGGUAAUACCCCAGGAAUCCUCACCACCUAACCUGAUCCACCUGGAGGAACCCCGGCUUGGGAGAUGGCAGGGCAGAUGCUCUUGGCAGCAUUCAGGCCUGGGCUUAAGUUACUCCCUGAUGUGGCCAUCUGCUAUGCCCCAGGGAUAGGAAGGAAAAAUGGGCCUGAAGGAAAGGAGGUAAAAGAAGUAGAAUGAGGGUCAACACACUCAGGGAGCACAAGGCAGGAAAGUAGAGAGACCAACUGAGAGAGUGGAGGGCGUACCCUUGUUGAGUCUGGAAGGAAAGAGGAGGAGCUGUGGAGAGGCACCAGGAUAACCCUGUGCUGAAGGGCAAGGUAGAGAGACCCCAGAGUGAGGGUCUAUAAAAAUGUCCUGAUCCCCCCAGCUCCCAGGACAAGGGGAUGGAAGCCAGCGAGAAGCAGAGUGAAGUCCUGAAGCUGAGCGUUGUAAUGUCUCGGUAGACCUGUGGGAAAGCUGGCUGCAGCCUCAGGAUGGAGGUCUGGAAGACAGAAGGUACACAAGGGGCCCCUCUCCAUCCACUCACCAGGGCUUGUUGCUUCUGGGCUUCCUCCUGCCAGAGGCUCCAGAUCUUCACUGCCAUCUGGGUGGGAGGUCAGGUUGGGUCUUGGGGGGUCUGCAGGGAGAGAAAAGCAUUGUCACCCAACCAGGACAUGGAGGACCAUCCAGACACUCAGUGAGAACCUCCUGGCUCUCCUGACUUUUCUAUGCUUUAUCCUGCACGUGGCUCCUGUGUGUGGACGAGGUGCUGCACUGGGCGACUCUGGGGAUGCCUGUCCUGUAGGGUUCCCAGUCCAGUGAUGGAGAGGGAGCCAAACAAUCACAAUCCAGGGUGAUCAAAGCUGUGACAGCUGGGGCUGGGGAUACAAAGGACUUGUGACAGCUCUUUAAUGGGCAGGAUCUGCCAGGUGGAGAGGCACGUACUUCCUUAGCCAUUCAUGAUUUAUUCACUGACCCAUGGGCCACACAUUGCCUGAGGCCUCCAUGGGCCAGGGACAGAAAAUGUCAGGGUCCCAGAGCCCAAGCAGUCCUGAGCCAUACCCUCCACAAGCUUCCCCAAGGAAGGGAACAGAGUCACCAUCCAGGAGGGAUACAGGCCACAGCGGAGAAAACGCCACUGCUGUCUUUGAAGACUGAGAAGCCAUGAGUCAAGCAAUACAGGUGACCUCCAGAAGCUGGCAACGGGCCAGGAAGGACUAUCUACGUGCUGGAGCCUCCAGAAGGAACAUGGUGGCCCUGCCAACACCUCGCCUCCAGCCCAGCCACAUGCAUUUGGAACUCCUGGCCUCCAGGACUGUAACAUAAUAAAAGUGUGCUGGUGGAAGCCACUGUGUUUGUGGUAUGUGUAACAGCAGCAAUAGGAAACGGAUACACUACUCAUACAUUCACACAAAUGGGUGAAGGGGCAGUCGAGGUAAACACACUUCUUACUGUGGGCUGUAGUUUAAAAAUUCAAAAAGACACUGAGGUAGGACCUCCCACGAGAUGCUUCUUAGCACACACUGGCCAGUCUGGAGAAAGUCUGCCCCAAUGUGAUGAGAUUCUAUCAAAUGAUAGUUUCCACCGUGUGUUAUCUUUUACUUCUUUCAUCUUUUGGAGUAAAUUAUUUUUCUGGUUCUUCAAAAAGAAAGAACUGAGGCAACAGAGAGGGAAAAUGAGUUAAUCAGGUGACACUGAUGGGGAGCUGGGGUGAUAUGGCCUUGGAGCUGCACAGACCUUAGCUGGAGUCUGGGCCCUGCUGCUGUCUCACUGUGUGACACUGGUGUGCAGAAGAGGGCGACACAGCAGGCUGGCUGCUCUCCUGGGAAAAGCCUGCUGGCAAGGCUGGAUUUCAGGGGGGUACCCCGUGUCUCCAGAACUGAAGAGACACGCUCCCUGGACCUAAACUGUGCAAACACGGUGGCUUACACCUGCUUUCCUUCUGGGGGGCUGGAAUUUUGGAAUGUGCCAGGCAGAGGAGCCCACAUGACCAGCCCCCAGUAAAAACCCUGGCACUGAGUCUCUGAUGAGCUUCCCUGGUGGACAGCAUUUCACACGCGAUAUCACAUUCUACAGUAUUGCUGGGGGAAUUAAGCAUGUCCCAUGUGACUCCCCUGAGAGAAUUCUGGAAGCUUGUGCCUGGCUUCCUUGGACUUUGCCCCAUGUACCUCCUCCCUUUGCUGACUGUGCUCUGAAUCUUUUCACUGUAGUAAGUCAUAGCCAUGAGUCUGACUACAGGAUGAGUCCUGGGAAUCCUAGCCAAUCACUGAAUCUGUGGGUGCUCCUGGGGACACUGACACAGCUGGGAAGGUGACUGCCACUCUUUUAACCUCAGUUUCAGACCAAUCGGCAAAAGAGGGACAACCCAGCUUCUUCAUGGGGUGACUGGAGGAUUGAACAAGCAAGUCCUAAGAGCUGCUACUCAAUCAUUCAUUAGUUUAGAGCUGUCUGCUGGGCCCUAGAGCAGGUACUGUUCGUUCCAAACACUGGGGACACGCCCUGUCCUCACACAGCUCCCGCUCUGAAUGAUACAAUGGUAGUUAGAACGUGAGGGAGCGACAGACAAGAUGAGUAGGAGAGGAGGUAUGGAGUUCUAACAGGGUCCCAGGUUAAACUUUAAAAAUGUAAGCCCUGAGAGCCGCUUAGGCAGAGGGGAGGGCAACUGGAAGACUUUGAAGUAUCAGCUUGAAGAAUGACUGACUACAAGUAGGAAAGUGGUGAAGACAAGGCUGGGGAGGCAGAUAGGGGCCAGAGCAGGGUUUCCCAGGCUUAGCACUACUGACACUGGCGUGGGCCAAUCCUUGGUUGUGGGGCUGUGCUGUGCACUGUAGGAUGUGUGGCAGCCUCCCUUGGUUCCACCAGCUAGAUGCUAGCGGCACGCUGCGCUGGCCCAAGGAGUAACAAUCAAAAAUGUCUCCACACAUUGCCAAUGUCUCCUCGGCCAGCUGAGAACUGCUGGGCUAGGUCAUGCUGAUUCUGAGGAGCCCAGGAGCCAGGACUUCACCCUGUGGGUGGUAGAGAGCAUGGGUGAUCACCAAGCAGGGCAGUGAGUAGGCCCCUGGGGACAGGCAACACUCACCCAGCAGGAAGAGGUCCUGGCAAUUGUCCAACGCUGUGUCCCAGAACGUGUCCCCCUGUUCCAGCCCGAGCUGCUCCCAGUCUCCCAAGGUGAAGUCCAUGCCGACAUCCUUGAGGGUCACAAAUUCCUGAAACACAGUACACUAUUGGUCACUCAGAGGCUGGGGUCAGGGAGGAGCCCAACAGCUCACUCAGGGCACUCCCAGCCCUCAAUCUGCCAGGGCUUUGGCAAAAACCAUCCCAUCCUCAGCCUCACAAGAAUCUUGAGAUGUAAGAGACUGGAAACCCCUGUAUUUUGUAGGCAAAGAAAAGGACCUUGACUUUGACCAGGGGACAGGAUGUCAACCGAAGUUAACACAGGUGGGACUGAACCCAGGUCUGCCUGAUCCUAAAAAUCUAUUUUACGCUUUUGCUUUAAGUGUUCAUUCAAGACUUAUUUUGUAAACUUUCAAACAUACAUACAAGUAGAGAUGUAUAUAAUUAACACCCAUGAACUCAUCACCCAGGGGUCAUCUGAUUUCACCUGUGAAUACUUCAGUAUGAACAGUAACUCCUUAAUCACUGAACACCUAGACCACAUUCAAAAUCUGUAUACAGAUUAGUCUGACAUCUCAGUGGUGUGUCUUUAUAGCUAGCUCGUCUCAAUCAGAAUCCAGGGGGCCCAUACCCUGUAACUGAUGUG
rnacentral:lncRNA from 10 species